CCUACGGGAGGCAGCAGUGGGGAAUAUUGGACAAUGGGGGGAACCCUGAUCCAGCCAUGCCGCGUGUGUGAAGAAGGCCCUCGGGUUGUAAAGCACUUUCAGUGAGGAAGAACGCCUGGUGGUUAAUACCCAUCAGGAAAGACAUCACUCACAGAAGAAGCACCGGCUAACUCCGUGCCAGCAGCCGCGGUAAUACGGAGGGUGCGAGCGUUAAUCGGAAUUACUGGGCGUAAAGCGCGCGUAGGUGGCUUGAUAAGCCGGUUGUGAAAGCCCCGGGCUCAACCUGGGAACGGCAUCCGGAACUGUCAAGCUAGAGUGCAGGAGAGGAAGGUAGAAUUCCCGGUGUAGCGGUGAAAUGCGUAGAGAUCGGGAGGAAUACCAGUGGCGAAGGCGGCCUUCUGGACUGAAACUGACACUGAGGUGCGAAAGCGUGGGUAGCAAACAGGAUUAGAUACCCUAGUAGUC
rnacentral:rRNA from 1 species